rnacentral:tRNA from 1 species
CUCCCUGUGGCUCAGUUGGUAGAGCAUGGUGUUUGCAACGCCAGGGUUGUGGGUUUGAUUCCCACGGGGGGGC